rnacentral:rRNA from 1 species
ACGGAAAGUAACACGUGGCUAACCUGCCCUUGGGACGAAAACAACCCCGGGAAACUGGGGCUAAUUCUCAGAUAGGUGAAGAACUCUGGAAUGAGUCUUUGCCUAAAAGGUGUCGGAUCAUGCUUUCGGCAUCGCCCAAGGAUGGGGCCGCGACCGAUCAGGUAGUUGGUGAGGUAAUGGCUCACCAAGCCUUUUACCGGUGCGGGCCGUGAGAGCGGGAGCCCGGAGAUGGGCACUGAGACAAGGGCCCAGGUCCUACGGGGCGCAGCAGUCGCGAAACCUUUGCAAUACACGCAAGUGUGACAGGGUCAUCCCGAGUGCCGACCGCUGAGGUUGGCUUUUACCCAGUCUAGAAAGCUGGGGGAAUAAGGAGAGGGCAAGUCUGGUGUCAGCCGCCGCGGUAAUACCAGCUCUCCGAGUGGUGUGGACGUUUAUUGGGCCUAAAGCAUCCGUAGCUGGCUGAGCAAGUCCCCUGUUAAACCCACCGAUUUAAUCGUUGGCGUGCGGGGGAUACUGUUCGGCUAGGGGACGAGAGAGGCAGGCGGUAUUCCCGGGGUAGG